CUGGGUGAAAACCACUGCUCUAGGCAAUUGAAACUUGAUCUCUGACCAUUUAUAAAAUGUUUGUUGGCAGUCUAAAAAUAUCAUAUCAAUUGCAUGCUGCUACAUAUUUUUCAAAAUUUGUUCCCCUGCAUGGUUUGUAAUUCUUCCAUAUUCCAUGUAUAUGAUAUACCAAUAGAUGGCAUCCAUGGACUGUCUGACUGUCAAAGACCUUGGGUCAGUCCUGCCUGAUUUUAACAAAGAAGCUUUUGAGGAGGUUUCAGAGAUUUUGGCAAACAUUUCUGAUCUAAAAAGUAAUAUCAGCCUUUACAGCUACUGUAGACCAUGUCAGGGAUUUCUCAUUAGGAAAAACAGGGAGAAAUUGAUUUUUAAUCAUAUAUGUUCUGGAUAAUGCUGUGUGUGUGUGUGUUUGUUAACUUGUGUCUCUAGGGUAAAAUACAACGUGUCUUUGUGAAUGCUUGGCUUUCUCUGAUUAGAGUGACUGGGCCACUCACUUAUCAAAGUUUCUUUUAUCUCUAUUGCAGGUACAUUUAUAAUUGUUAAUGACAUGCAAUCAUGACCAUGCCAAAAAGUAUGAAUAACAGUAUGUGUCAUUCAGGCUUCCCUAACAUGAUUGUUGCCAUCGAAGGCACAUGCAUCCCCAUCAAGGCCCCACCUGGCCCAAACGAAGGAGAUUUUGUGAACCUAAAGGGGGUUCACAGUGUAAAUGUGCAGAUUACAAAUAUGGAAGCAAAAUGGCCAGGAUCAGUGCAUGACUCAAGAAUUUUUGGAGAGUAACAUUUAUGCACAUUAUUUGAACGUAGUAAGGGAACAUAAAUGUCAAGCUCACAGUAUCACACACACUUAUGCUGAGCCUAACAAAACUGCAUUGUUCCAUUAUACAGGGGAUUUUGAUGGGAUCCUGCUUGGAGACAGGGGCUAUGCCUGCAGGUAGUAUUUUAUGAUGCCCUUCCCUGACCCAAACCCUCGACCACAAACCCAUUACAAUGCAGCUCUAGCCAGGACAACAUCGCCACUAUCAGAAAGGAGAGGAUCCCUGUGGUGGGGGUGCAGCCUGAUGAUGACCUCCAGCCAGUGCACUUGGACCAACCUAGUGGCAGAGCUGCACGGGACAGAAUUGUGGAACACCAUUUUUGAAUGUGU